AGCAACUGAGGUCACACAUGUAGCUAAUACAGAGCUGAGGGAAGGGGAAAUAGUUUGGUAUCAGUUCAAAUGCACUCAAUGACAGCCACAUGCACACAUACACGACCACUCCACUGGUAUGCACACGCGUUCUCCAUCAGUACUCACAUGCUGGAGCUGUGUCGGUGACAGUAAACGCUGUGAAUCCGCUGUAACAGGACACCGAGUGUAAACUGUCGGCUAUCAGAGUGUGUUUAUACGUGUGUCUUCUCCUUUGCACACACAAACACAGACACACUGCAGCUCUGAAGAGGGAGGAGAUAGGGGGUGUAUAUGUACACAAACUCUCGCGCGCACACACAGAAGCUUUCAUCCCUCUCUCUGACAUGACGCAACCCGGCACUCCCCCUCAGCUGUCAGCCAAUCACAGAAGAGGACAUUCCAGCACGCAGCAAGCGGCACGAUUUAAAGAGCUCGAGACUGGAGAGCACCUUGUAGCAAUAACAUGACAAUGAUGAGAGAUGAUUUAAUGUCAUGGAAGCCAAGAGCCUGACCUGAACAAAACUUUGCAGCCUCGUCAAGAAUUGUGUAGCCCUCCUGUUACCCUCAAAUUUACUAACAUCGUUAUAAUAUGAGUCAAUUUGACCCCAGCAAUUUAAACCUCCAGAAACUGAUUGUUACCCAGGUUUAUGUGUCAGGUACUUUAUGUUUCUUUGUUGACUACCUACAUAGCCCUUUGAACAAAUUCUAUUUUAAGAAUAAACACGUUUUAAAACAUUCA